AUACGGAGGGUGCAAGCGUUAAUCGGAAUUACUGGGCGUAAAGCGUACGUAGGCGGUUCGUUAAGUUAGAUGUGAAAGCCCCGGGCUUAACUUGGGAACUGCAUUUGAAACUGGGUAACUAGAGUUUAGUAGAGGGGAGUGGAAUUUCAGGUGUAGCGGUGAAAUGCGUAGAGAUCUGAAGGAACACCAGUGGCGAAGGCGACUCCCUGGACUAAAACUGACGCUGAGGUACGAAAGCGUGGGUAGCAAACAGGAUUAGAAACCCUAGUAGUCC
rnacentral:rRNA from 1 species